GACGAACGCUGGCGGCGCGCCUAAUACAUGCAAGUAGAACGCGGAAGGAGGCGCUCGCUUCUCUGGAUCAGUUGCGAACGUGUGAGUAACGCGUAGGUAACCUGCCUGGUAGCGGGGGAACACUAUUGGAAACGAUAGCUAAUACGUCAUAAGACUAGAUGUAGUAUGACAUUUUCUUAAAAGGUGCAAUUGCAUCACUACUGGAUGGACCUGCGUUGUAUUAGCUAGUUGGUGGUGUAACGGCUCAACAAGGCUACGAUAGAUAGCCGACCGGAGAGAGUGGACGGUCAAACUGGGAAUGGGACACGGCCCAGACCCCUGAGGGAGGCAGCAGGAGGGAAUGUUGGGCAAUGGACGGAAGUCGGAACGAUGAACGCCGCGUGAAUGAAGGAGGGUUUCGGAUCGGAAAGCGCAGUUGUAUGAGGAGAAAGAGUAUGAGAGUGGAAAGUUCACAAUGUGACGGUAGCUGACCAGAAAGGGACGGCUAACUACGUG
rnacentral:rRNA from 1 species